GCUACAUAUAUAGCUUGACCACAUUUUGACUCCAUGCACAGCCAUGUUUGCUGUGCAUGAGAGAUGUGCAUGGGAGCAUUCAAGGAAGUCUUGCUUAGUUAGAGCUGGCCCCACCCUUUGCCGGCUGCAACUCUUGGGAGAAUAGGUCCUGCACUUUGUCUGGGCAGCACAGUAGAAUUGGCCCUGGUGGCAUGGGUGAGGGAUAGCCAGCCCCAGAUGGCAUAAGAAAGGGGGAGCUGGCCCUGCCUCCUGCUGGGGCAGUGCUGGAGAACUGGUCCCGCCCAUCACUGGGACAGAGCUGGAGAGAUAGCUCUGAUGUCAAUGGCACAGGAAAGCUGGUGAGCUGACUAACUUAGCUUCCAUCCAGGCACAGAUCCAGGGCUUUGAGUUGCCCACCCCAACAGCUACUUCAUCUAUAAUUUGCCGGAGUGCACGAAGGGACCAGUCCUGCAGGAUCUCCAUGACAGGGCAACAACAGAUAUCCAAGGGAGUCCUGGUGAGGAUCCAGUAUUGAUAGAGUAGUAGAAGCCAGAGGCCUUGAACCAGAUUAAUGACUCAUUGCAAAAAUGACAGCAUUGCAAUGACCAUUUGCAAGUAAAGUUGUUUGGGCAAAAGGUAUAAUGUGUGACACACCAUGACACAGCACUCUCCAGGACUAACUGGAGCAUCUCCUUCCUGAGCAUUCAGCCUACGACCCCAAGGGACUGAGCUGGCUCCGGUGCAAUGUAAACUGAGGUGGUACUUGCUAUUUGGGGCUUGGCCUUGGAACUAUCCUGGGUAGGUGCACGAUGCCUUCUCCUUUAGUUCCCUGAAGAUGGGCUUCAAUGGCGCUCUACAGCAGGUAGACCCAUAGAUAGGGCGGAGGUUGCGGGAGAUCAAGAACAGAGGCCUUGCUAUCCUGAGCCUCCUUCAGAGCUCUAUUAGAAGUGAGCUUGCAGUGGACACAGCCGCUGAGUUUUGGCCAUGAGUUUGCCAGUUCAGCUGAUCUGUCCUGACUACUCUUCCCUUCUCCUCUACCUCUUUCAGUACAAAUGGAGGAGUUAUAGAAAGAUGUGUCUCUAAAUAGGGGUGCUCACUGGCAGGUAGUAGUGGACACCCAAGUGCUGACUAUGGCCAGACUUAUGCUUAGAGAUUCCUGGAUCAGAUGGUUAGGUAGAAGUAGUUCUGGAGCAGCUUUUCUGUAGAGAUCUAAACUCCCUUAAAAUGUAGUCUAAUGCCACUAUGUUGUUAUCAAUAAAGAAGCACCAGUCUGAUAGGCGCAGCAAUCAUAAGACAGGGAAAGUAAGCUCUCAUUCUAACAAAGAAGAGACUUGAACUGACUAUUCCUGGUUGUCAACUUGACUGUAUCUGGGAUGAAUUACAACCCAGAAUUGGAGGGCUCACCUGUGAUCCAGAUCUUGAGGCUGGAACACACAAGUUUCUGACCUGGAUCUUGGCAUGGAGAUCUUGAGGUACAGUGGCUAUGAAAAGCUUAGGUUCAGGCAAGGUGGUACACGCCUUUAAUCCCAGGAGACUAAGGCAAAGAGAUCUCUGAGUUCAAGGUCAGCCAGGGACAAAACAAGCCCCAGAUCCAGGCAUGGUGGUACAUAUCUUUAAGUUGGACCACACCUUCUGCUGGAGGCCUACAUAAGGACAUUGGAAGAAGGAAGAGUCACCCUUAUUCACCUGCUUGCACUUACUAGCCAGCACAUCUGCUGGAACCUACUUCUACAGAAGAGCAGCUCAAACAACCAGCCUCGUGGGACUGAGCAACUACUGGAUUCUUGGACUUCCCAUUCACAGCUGACCAUUGUUGGGUUAGUGGACUACAGACUGUAAGUCAUCAUAAUAAAUUCCCUCAAUACAGAAAGACAUUCUGUAUAUUCUUCGACUCUAGAGAAUUCUGAUUAAUACAAGACUAAAAUUGUCCCUUCUCCUUUUAAUAAUAGAGCUGGUUUGGGAUAUAGCAUAUUGAAUUCCCUUGACUAUGGCAUCAUCCAUGCCUUUGAUAAAUGCAGUGAGAGGUGGCGAUCCAUGGUAUAUAGUCGUAUAUACUGUAGGUGAAAGACCCCAGCUUAGCAGCAGUAACGCCAUUUUGCAAGGCUGUACUUAAGAUGACUGGUUCAGGGAAAGGUUAGAACACUGAGUACACAGCGGCUGCCAAGCAGGAUGUGUAUGGUUGAAGGCCUGGCAACAGGACCACUGCAGUUGAGCGCCUGACAAUGAGAAAAGCCCCGGGAGAGGUCCCACACCCUGGUGGGGGGCCGAGUCAGCCGUUAUGUUCCAAGAAGGUAACUAGGAAACUUGCCCCCGGGCUGAACCCUUACCACAUUAGAAUCCACCAAUUAUAUCCCUGUAACCAUGCAUCUGCUUCUGUAUGCUUGCUUCUGCUCCCCAGAAUCCUAUAAAAAGCCCAUCCUUGGUUCCGUGGGGCGCGCCAGUCCCCCGAGUGACUGAAGCGCCCACAGGUGCCUGUGUAUCCCGACAAUAAACCAAAUCCUCUUGCUGAUUGCAUCCUGUGGCCUCGGUCUGGUCAUUGAGUUGGAGGGUCUCCAUCCCGAGGGAAAGUUCUCCCUGAGAGCUUUUCAUAGGUAGCUAAAUCAUAGGUAGGUGACAAAUGGAAGAUAUGUGGAUAGAGGUGACUUGUCAACCGAGUACAGAAGCCAUGGCGGCUAGAGACAUUGAGAUCUGUUCUCAUGGUUAUGUAAUUAGGACUUGGGGUGGGGGUGGGUAUGCUGCUGUAGUGAGACAUGGGACUCUAAACCCAUUGUCACACUCUGGCCCAAUAGAGGACAGCUACCAGACAAAGAACAUUCCAUUGGUCCCAGACAGGGUUUCCUUUGCCUUGCAAUGGCUUUGUUUUUCUUUAUUAUUAAACAUAAUAGUUUAGAAUUCAUAUACUCAAAUUUUGUCAUAUAGUGGGAUGGAGAGAACAUUUAAUACCUUUAUUCUCUAGGUGCUGGCAGUUUCAAACAUUGGCUUUUGUUUUUAACCCUUUCAUUGUAACACAAGUUGGGUCAGAGCACAAGUUUUAAAUAUCUCUUUUUUUUUGUGAUUCUUUAAUUUUUUUUAUUUGUGUAUAUUCCAUGUCAUGGGAUAUGAUAUGUCCAUGGGGACCAGAGGGUAUCUGAUCCCUUGGAGUUUGAGUGACAGGAAGUUGUGAACUGCCUGACAUGGGUGCUGGGAAUGGAGCUUGGGUCCUCUGCAGGGAAAGCAAACUGUCUUAACCACUGAGCCACCUCUCCAUCUCUUGAAGCUCUCAGCAUGGCUUUAUGAUUAGUUUAGCAUUGUUUGGGAGGAUUAAAGCAUCUCAUAGGAGCCAGGCAGGACAAGGUGAACUGAACAAUGGAAAGCCUUUAUUACUGGCUGGCAUAUGUGGCUCUGGGUUGCUAGGAACAGAACCACUGAAGGUUUCUCAGCAAUGCAGUGGUAGGCUCCCUGAACAGACCUGAGAUGGCUUUCACAGAGAUCAGACUAGAACCAGCACAGAGGUUAGGUGGUCAAGGCCUAGACUAGGACAGUGGCAGUGUAAAUAGAUCCACAGUGGAUGUGGAAUUGCUGGACCCUGGCAAGGUUACCAAAGGGACAAGGAAGAAGGAACGAUUAAAUAGAUGUCUUAGAUGAAGUAGAUUAAGGUAAGCUACUGGGGAGACGGUACCAUUAUAGAGACAAAGGAGGGGGGGAAGGAGAUGGUGCUGAUGUUGACAGUGCUAAAAUUAGUAGGAAAGUCAGAUGUGGAGGCCUAGGGAUGGAAUUUAGAGAAGGCAGCAUGCAGGGCAGAGUAGAAGUGGGGGUCCCUAAGAGUGAUGAAGAUGUCCAUCAUGAGCUUCUUUCCAAAGGUAAAUCCUUACUCCCUUCCUGGAAGAAGUGAAGAUAGUCCUCCAACCUCCCCUUUUCUAGUCAGUGGCAGAAUUGCAGCAGAGUGGGAGAGCCCUGGACACCACAGUUCCCCUGCAGUUGUAAACACAUCUGCCCAGUGUGUGUGCCUUAUUAGUUUAAGGAUUCCUCAGCCUGGGGUUGGGGAUUUAGUUCAGUGGUAGAUCGCUUGCCUAGCAAGUGCAAGGCCCUAGGUUCCGUCCCCAGCUCUGAAAAAAAGGAAAAAAAAAAAAAGAUUCCUCAGCCUUAUCAGGGAAUGGGGUCGUGGGCUUCAUUAACUAUGCUGGUUUUGUUUCUUAUUUAUUGAUUUUAUUUUCCUCUGUGAUUCAUGGGGAUCCUCCCCUAGUAAUUCAUAAAUAUUUAUCUCUGUUCCUUAAGUUCCCCAGUAUUGGGAGUCGAGGGGAAAUCACUGAGACUCACUGGCCAACCAGCCUAUUAGAAGUGGCGAAUUCCUGCUUCAGUUUCUCUGUGCCUCACUCUUUCCCCACCCCUAAUAAAUAGCUCCUAAAGGUUAUUUAUAAGGAAUUAAACUCCUAAACGUUAGGAGUAGGUUUAUUUGAAUACUUACCAUAACAUUCUCUCCUCAUUUUCACUAACUUUUCUCUUUCUUAAGCUUAGGCAUAUGGGCAGGAGAGAAAAGGCCAAGGGGCAGGCCUCAGGAAGAACACAAGUGGGAAGUCCCCAGACAUCCACUCCUGGGCGCACUCCACUGCUACUGUGUAUCAUCUGGUGACACAUCUUAGUUAUGUGACCAUUCAGAUACUGCACACAGGUUCAUACCAAAAACACGCUAAGGCGAUUGACUAUACUGUGUCAACUCCAUAGCUCUUGAAGGUGUAUGUUUUAGUAAUUUCCUAAUUGAAGUAUCUUGUAAAGAGCAGUGUAAUUUUAAAUUUACUGUUUUAAUUAAUUGUCCAGUGUUUAAAGAAAAAUGAACUGAAGCUUGACUGACUGUAUAAUUUUAAUACUUGAAAAUGUACACAGAUAAACUCAAUACAAUACAGAUUUGUACAAAAGAAGGACUGCUAAAAACACAGAAGAAAAAUAAAUAAUAGGUUUUUUAAAAAAGGACAAGACAUUUUAUAAAUACUAAUAAAUACUGUGCAAUGCUUUAAUUUACUAUGGCAGAUAGAAAAACUCAAGAAAUCAUUAACAGGUUGUAUAUUUAAAAAGCUACAUGAAUUUUCUAGCUGAUUAAAAUAAAAUGUAACAGUAGUAGUUUUUACUUUUAAAAUGAGGUAUUAUUACAUUGUAAACCAAAACAGAGCAUAAAUAUAUGACUUAGCAAUUAAUGGUUAUAAACUUCAACUUAAUAAAAGACAACAAAUUUCCCAUUAUUUAUGGACUUUGUCACUUACAAUUUGGCUUGCCUGUGUACUUGCAAAAGUGACAUAGCUAUCAACAUACAUCGUUAGACAUGCAAACCAAACCAAACCAAACCAAUACUAUUUCCAUGAGUCAGCCUUAACAAAUAAAAACUUCGUUUACAUUUUACUGAAAACACUUAAAUCUGGUUUCCUAUACAUAAUUCUUUGUGCUUGUUAGUAGGAACCUACAUUAAACAUCUCUACGAAGUGCAAGAGAGAAGCAGUUUUAUUUGCAUAUGGAUUUAAAACAAUAUACACACCAAAGCAAACGUACCUUUAGCUGUCUUAGGCUUUCCAAGAUUUUAAAGAAGAAGUAUCCUUUUGGUAUACUCAAAUGGGAACGUAGUCAUUUGCAGUCUCAAGCCUCACAGGAAAGGAAGUUGGGUUCUCUAA